rnacentral:rRNA from 1 species
UACGUAGGGUGCAAGCGUUAAUCGGAAUUACUGGGCGUAAAGCGUGCGCAGGCGGUUGUGCAAGACAGAUGUGAAAUCCCCGGGCUCAACCUGGGAAUUGCAUUUGUGACUGCACGGCUAGAGUGUGUCAGAGGGGGUAGAAUCCACGUGUGAGCAGUGAAAUGCGUAGAGAUGUGGAGGAAUACCGAUGGCGAAGGCAGCCCCCUGGGAUAAC